UAUUCUGUUGAUCUGAUAUGGAUAAGAUCUCUGGGAAAUCAUAUAUGGUAUAACUAUAUAGAUUGAAUUAUAGUUUAAGGUACAUAGAUUUAGUUUCUAGCCCUAACUCAUUUUGUAAAAACAAUUUCUUCUGCCUCCUUUUCAGAGAGUACCUUCUGAAAAGUCCUCUGUGGGUAAAGAGAUCUUGUUUUCCUGAGUCAAGGAAUUGCAUGGAUGAGAGUUUUUCUUGCAUUCAUGUAAGAGGGUGAUUUGGAAAAGGCUCGCAAAUCAGCACAAACUUGAAAGCCAAGCAUGGAAUAAAAUUAGCCUUAAGAUAAUCAGGUUUAAGUGAAGGGAGAGUUUUAAUAAAAAUGGAAAAUGUAAAGUCAUAGCUCUGGUAUUGCUGUUAUUUCAAGCUGCUAUGGAUCAAUGCCCAAAGGAUGACUCAUUGUUGUGAUCACUUGUCAGACAGGGAGAGGACUAGUAAAUAUUUCAGGAAGACAUAUCUGAAAAGUUAUUUAGAUUGAAUUUUGUUUGUGAAUCCUCAGCUCCUCAUGAGGUACCUGAGCAUCUCUGUUAAGGGGUGAAAUAGAGACACGGGAAGCAGAGAGACCUCCACCAGGAUGUAAAGGGGAUUGGUAAAGAGGAAGGGGGUAGGGGGGAGUAGAAUUUUGAUUUCACUUCAGUUGAUUCUGUGUGUGUGUGUGUGUGUGUGUGUGUGUGUGUGUGUGUGCGCGCGCGCGCGUGUGUGACUAAUGUACUGUUAAUGUACUGUUUAGGUCAGGACAUUUCUUAAAAGGAAUGCUUUGGCCUCCUGCCUCAUCCCACCUCCACUGCAAGCGUCAGACCCACCCAAGAAUGAGCUCUCUGAAUGUGGGUGCAUUCAAAAGCGAAAAAUGAUAAAAACUUCAUUUCUUGGCUUCUGUAGCCCUCUGAGAACUACAGAUAAAGACAGAAUAAGAUAAUUUGAUGGUUUGAUGAAGUGUCUGGGUGUGAGAUAAAAUCUAUGUGCUUAUGAUUCUUAAUAUAAAAGAUUAUUUCGAUCAAUCUGGUUUGAACACAUAGAAAACAAAAGAUGCAAGAAUAGCUAACAAUAAAGUUCUUUUCUCAGCAAU
rnacentral:lncRNA from 1 species